AAGCAUCGCCAGGCAGCGACAAGUCCGG
rnacentral:sRNA from 1 species